rnacentral:snRNA from 1 species
AUACUUACCUGGCAAGGGAGAUACCAUGAUUGCGAAGGUGGUUUUCCCAGGUGAGGCUCACCCAUUGCACUCUGGAUGUGCUGACCCCUGCAGUUUCCCCAAAUGCAGGGAACUCCCUGAAUUAAAAAAAA